rnacentral:rRNA from 1 species
GACGAACGCUGGCGGCGUGCUUAACACAUGCAAGUCGAACGGAAAGGCCCUGCUUUUGUGGGGUGCUCGAGUGGCGAACGGGUGAGUAACACGUGAGUAACCUGCCCUUGACUUUGGGAUAACUUCAGGAAACUGGGGCUAAUACCGGAUAGGAGCUCCUGCUGCAUGGUGGGGGUUGGAAAGUUUCGGCGGGUGGGGAUGGACUCGCGGCUUAUCAGCUUGUUGGUGGGGUAGUGACUUACCAAGGCUUUGACGGGUAGCCGGCCUGAGAGGGGGACCGGCCACAUUGGUACUGAGAUACGGCCCAGACUCCUACGUGAGGCAGCAGUGGGGAAUAUUGCACAAUGGGCGGAAGCCUGAUGCAGCAACGCCGCGUGCGGGAUGACGGCCUUCGGGUUGUAAACCGCUUUCGCCUGUGACGAAGCGUGAGUGACGGUAAUGGGUAAAGAAGCACCGGCUAACUACGUG